GAUGAACGCUGGCGGCGUGCCUAAUACAUGCCAGUCGAGCGAACAGAUGAGGAGCUUGCUCCUCUGACGUUAGCGGCGGACGGGUGAGUAACACGUGGAUAACCUACCUAUAAGACUGGGAUAACUUCGGGAAACCGGAGCUAAUACCGGAUAAUAUAUUGAACCGCAUGGUUCAAUAGUGAAAGACGGUUUUGCUGUCACUUAUAGAUGGAUCCGCGCCGCAUUAGCUAGUUGGUAAGGUAACGGCUUACCAAGGCAACGAUGCGUAGCCGACCUGAGAGGGUGAUCGGCCAAACUGGAACUGGGACACGGUCCAGACUCCUACGGGAGGCAGCAGUAGGGAAUCUUCCGCAAUGGGCGAAAGCUUGACGGAGCAACGCCGCGUGAGUGAUGAAGGUCUUCGGAUCGUAAAACUCUGUUAUUAGGGAAGAACAAAUGUGUAAGUAACUAUGCACGUCUUGACGGUACCUAAUCAGAAAGCCACGGCUAACUACGUG
rnacentral:rRNA from 1 species